rnacentral:tRNA from 1 species
GCCAAGGUCGGAUAAUCCGGCUAUUCCGGCUGCCUCGAAAGCAGCUGUCCUCACGGACGUGCAGGUUCAAAUCCUGCCCUUGGCG